rnacentral:rRNA from 1 species
UCAGUUCAGACUGCAGGCUGCAACUCGACCACACGAAGCUGGAAUCGCUAGUAAUCGCGAAUCAGCAUGUCGCGGUGAAUACGUUCCCGGGUCUUGUACACACCGCCCGUCACACCAUGGGAGUCAGCAACGCCCGAAGUCAGUGACCUAACCGAAAGGAAGGAGCUGCCGAAGGCGGGGCAGGUAACUGGGGUGAAGUCGUAACAAGGUACC